UACGUAGGGCGCAAGCGUUGUCCGGAAUUAUUGGGCGUAAAGAGCUCGUAGGCGGCCAGUUGCGUCUGCUGUGAAAUCCCGGGGCUCAACCCCGGGCGUGCAGUGGAUACGGGCUGGCUAGAGGCAGGCAGGGGAGAACGGAAUUCCCGGUGUAGCGGUGAAAUGCGCAGAUAUCAGGAGGAACACCGAUUGCGAAGGCAGCUCGCUGGGACGUAACUGACGCUGAGACGCGAAAGCGUGGGGAGCAAACAGG
rnacentral:rRNA from 1 species